ACCAAACGACUAGCCCAGCCAGGAAAAACAACAAUCAGUAUUAAUAACCCUAGAGCCACUAGAAGGACUUAAAGAAAAACAUUUUUCCACCUUAGUACGGGAGACGGAAAGGGAUAAUAGGCGCUAUAAAAAGUACCGCAAGGGAAAGUUGAAAGAAAGAUGAAAGAGCUUAGAAAGGAAAGAAAAGCAGAGAUUAGCUCUCGUACCUUUUGCAUCAUGACUUAGUCAGCACUUACCAGGCAGAGGGCCCUUUAGCUUGGACCCCCGAAGCUGGGCGAGCUACUCCAAGACAGCCUAUAGUAGGGCAAACCCGUCUCUGUGGCAAAAGAGUGGGAAGAACUUAGAGUAGAGGUGACAGACCUACCGAGCCCAGAUAUAGCUGGUUGCCUGGGAAUUGAAUAGAAGUUCAGCCUUUUGACUUUUUAACCCAUGGAGGCUAGGCCGCGCGCCAUGCCCCACCCAGGAUAAGAUGGGACCAAAAGAGUUAUUCAAGAGAGGAACAGCUCUCUUGAAGAAAGAAACAACUUUGCGCAGGCUAAAGAUCAGAGAAUAUAAGGAAUUAUGACCGGGUGGGCCUAAAAGCAGCCACCCCCCUAGGAAAAGCGUUAAAGCUUGGGCAUGGUCCCCCAAAGAUCCCGACAGGAAUUCUUAAGCCCCUAUACAUACCAGGCCCCCCUAUGCACACAUAGGGGAGAUACUGCUAACAUGAGUAAUAAGAGAGCCCCCUCUCUCCAGGCAGAAGUGUAUAUCAGAACGAACCCACACCGAAAAUUAACGCCCCCAAAGAAAGAGGGAAUAGGCAAUAUUUAUUAAACUAGAAAUUCCCCGAACUACCAGCGUUAACCUUACACAAGACUGCCCAAGGAAAGACAAAAGGAAGAAGAAGGAACUCGGCAAACACUUGACCUCGACUGUUUACCAAAAACACCGCCUCUUGAUCACUAUAAGAGGUCACGCCUGCCCUGUGACAAAGUUUUAACGGCCGCGGUAUUUUGACCGUGCGAAGGUAGCGUAAUCACUUGUCUUUUAAAUGAAGACCUGUAUGAAUGGCAAAACGAGGGCCAAACUGUCUCCUCCCUCCAGUCAAUGAACUUGAUCUGCCCGUGCAGAAGCGGGCAUCCACACAUAAGACGAGAAGACCCUAUGAAGCUUUAGACACCAGGGCGGACCACGUUAAUAGCCCCGAACCACCAGGAUUAAACCUAAGCGGACCCUGCUCACCUGUCUUUGGUUGGGGCGACCACGGGGAAAGAAAAAACCCCCGAGCGGAAUGGGAACUAUUCCCCAAGGGAAGGCCCACAGGCCAACCCCUCAAAACAUCUGACCACAAUAGAUCCGGAAAAACCGAUUGACGAACCCAGUUACUCUAGGGAUAACAGCGCAAUCCCCUUUAAGAGCCCACAUCGACAAGGGGGUUUACGACCUCGAUGUUGGAUCAGGACAUCCUAAUGGUGCAACCGCUAUUAAGGGUUC
rnacentral:rRNA from 1 species